GGAUAGGUCGCCGAGCGGUUUAUGGCACCGGUCUUGAAAACCGGAGGGCGCGCAAGCGCUCGGGGGUUCGAAUCCCUCCCCUCCGCCA
rnacentral:tRNA from 1 species